GACGAACGCUGGCGGCGUGCUUAACACAUGCAAGUCGAACGGAAAGGCCCCUUUGGGGGUCCUCGAGUGGCGAACGGGGGCGUAACACGUGCGUAACCUGCCCUUGACUUCGGGAUAACUUCAGGAAACUGGGGCUAAUACCGGUUAGGAAUCCUUGCUUCAUGGUGGGGGUUGGAAAGCUUCGGCGGUUUUGGAUGGACUCGCGGCUUAUCUGCUUGUUGGUGGGGUAGUGGCUUACCAAGGCUUUGACGGGUAGCCGGCCUGAGAGGGCGACCGGCCACAUUGGGACUGAGAUACGGCCCAGACUCCUACGGGAGGCAGCAGGGGGGAAUAUUGCACAAGGGGCGGAAGCCUGAUGCAGCAACGCCGCGGGCGGGAUGACGGCCUUCGGGUUGUAAACCGCUUUCAGCAGGGGCGAAGCUUGUGGUGACGGUACCUGCAGAAGAAGCACCGGCUAACUACGUG
rnacentral:rRNA from 1 species